rnacentral:rRNA from 1 species
AGUGAACGCUGGCGGUAGGCCUAACACAUGCAAGUCGAACGGCAGCACAGAGGAGCUUGCUCCUUGGGUGGCGAGUGGCGGACGGGUGAGGAAUACAUCGGAAUCUAGUCUGUCGUGGGGGAUAACGUAGGGAAACUUACGCUAAUACCGCAUACGACCUACGGGUGAAAGCAGGGGAUCUUCGGACCUUGCGCGAUUGAAUGAGCCGAUGUCGGAUUAGCUAGUUGGCGGGGUAAAGGCCCACCAAGGCGACGAUCCGUAGCUGGUCUGAGAGGAUGAGCAGCGAGGCUGGAACUGAGACACGGUCCAGAGUCAGACGGGAGGCAGCAGUGGGGAAUAUUGGACAGUGGGCGCAAGCCUGAUCUAGCCAUACCGCGUGGGUGAAGAAGGCCUUCGGGUUGUAAAGCCCUUUUGUUGGGGAAGAAAUCCAUCUGGUUAAUACCCGGGUGGGAUGACGGUACCCAAAGAAUAAGCACCGGCUAACUUCGUGCCAGCAGCCGCGGUAA